AAAAAAUAUAUUAAUAUGCCGCGACGUAUUUUCGUGGAACGUACAUGAAAAUCGCACGUAAUAACGAAUUUUAUGUAAUAUUGUCCAAUAUUGGCGCUUUAUUACAUUCCUCACUGCAGCAUUCAAUCGAGAAAAUUAUUUUUUCAUCUACGUCGAUCCAACGCUAAAUUACCUGCCAAAUUGAUUAAUAACGCGGAAUCAGCGUAAUAUUACCACCAACAUAAGUGAUAUCGCUUAACAAAGCAUGCUGUAAAAUGUCAACAAAGCAAGCUCUACCGCCGGCAGUCAGUCAAAUUUUCACUUUAUUCGCUCGCAUCGAAAAACGAUGAUUUUGAAUAUAAUAUUAGUUUAAUUGCUUUCAAAAACAGAAGUAAGUCUUUAGGAAGUGAGUGAAAUAUGAAAACAGUGUUUCCGACUUGGUAUUGGGAGAAAAUCUGCUGUAGAGAGACAAAUAACGAGAAGGAUGCUAUGGACCCACAAAAUGCUACGUUGAUACCAACGAGGAAUCGACAUUGUGAAUGAAGUUGUGCAGAGUCAACAUCGUACCCGGGUAAUCGGCACGGUAAUCGAUCUCUUUCCAAUAAGACUUCGUGAUCGUGCCUAUACUUCUCCAAAAUAGUAUUUAUGCCAGUCGAGGUUCCGGCAAAGAUCAACCAAGAGCAGGAAGCAAGAGAAAUGAAACCACGCUGGCAAAUUUUGCUUUAGAACAAAACCGUCAGGAUCAUGCUUCCACCUACUACUCGAUGGAGUCCGUUACAAGAGCAAUCUGGCGGAAUGGGAUUAACGGAAGUAGUGGCGAUGCAAUAGUAACAUGCAGUUACGGCCUGAUCAGCAUCAGACGUAUGUAGUUAUAAAAACAAAAACUGAAUAUUUGAAAUUUUGAUUUUUUUCAAAACAUAAAAUCUUUAAAUCUCAAAAUCUUAAAAUCUUAAAAUCUUAAAAUCUUUAAAUCUUAAAAUCUUAAAAACUUGAAAUCUUGAAAUCUUAAAAUUUUGAAAUCUUGAAAUCUUAAAAUCUUACAAUCUUACAA